rnacentral:rRNA from 1 species
AGAACGAACGCUGGCGGCAUGCCUAACACAUGCAAGUCGAACGAGACCUUCGGGUCUAGUGGCGCACGGGUGCGUAACGCGUGGGAAUCUGCCCUUGGGUACGGAAUAACAGUUAGAAAUGACUGCUAAUACCGUAUAAUGACUCCGGUCCAAAGAUUUAUCGCCCAGGGAUGAGCCCGCGUAGGAUUAGCUAGUUGGAGAGGUAAAGGCUCACCAAGGCGACGAUCCUUAGCUGGUCUGAGAGGAUGAUCAGCCACACUGGGACUGAGACACGGCCCAGACUCCUACGGGAGGCAGCAGUGGGGAAUAUUGGACAAUGGGCGAAAGCCUGAUCCAGCAAUGCCGCGUGAGUGAUGAAGGCCUUAGGUUGGAAAGCUCUUUUACCCGGGAUGAUAAUGACAGUACCGGAGAAUAAGCCCCGGCUAACCUCCGCGCCAGCAGCCGC